rnacentral:rRNA from 1 species
AGCUCCGCUAGCGUAUAUUAAAAUUGUUGCAGUUAAAAAGCUCGUAGUUGGACUUAUGGCAUGAUACGUCAGGCCCGCAUCAUUAUUGAUUGUGAGUGUCUGUAUGAGUCUGCCAUCUUUAAUCGAAGAUAAUUUCAAACAUCCGGAAACAAUAGUUGAAGGUUGUGGGAGAUAAGAAUUGAUUCUAUUACUUUGAACAAAUGAAAGUGCUUAAAACAGGCUUAUAAAACGCUUGAAUCUACUAGCAUGGAAUAAUAACAUAGGACAUCGUUCUAUUUUGUUGGUUUAUGGAAUUGAUGUAAUGAUUAAUAGGGAUAGUUGGGGGUGCUAGUACUCAGUGGCCAGAGGUGAAAUUCUUGGAUUCACUGAAGACUGUCUUCUGCGAAAGCAUUCACCAAGGAUAUCUUCAUCAAAUC